GCAGUCGAACGGGAUUUGAUCUUUCGGGGUCAAUGAGAGUGGCGCACGGGUGCGUAACGCGUAUGCAACCUACCUUAUACUAAGGGAUAGCCCGGGGAAACCCGGAUUAAUACCUUAUGGUAUCUUAUAGUCGCAUGGCUAUUGGAUUAAAGAUUUAUUGGUAUAAGAUGGGCAUGCGUAGGAUUAGCUAGUUGGUAAGGUAAAGGCUUACCAAGGCGACGAUCCUUAGGGGUUCUGAGAGGAAGGUCCCCCACACUGGUACUGAGAUACGGACCAGACUCCUACGGGAGGCAGCAGUAGGGAAUAUUGGGCAAUGGACGCAAGUCUGACCCAGCCAUGCCGCGUGCAGGAAGAAGGCGUUAUGCGUUGUAAACUGCUUUUAUACGGGAAGAAAAGGCCCAUGCGUGGGACAUUGCCGGUACCGUAUGAAUAAGCACCGGCUAACUCCGUGCCAGCAGCCGCGGUAAUACGGAGGGUGCAAGCGUUGUCCGGAUUUAUUGGGUUUAAAGGGUGCGUAGGCGGCGAUUUAAGUCAGUGGUGAAAGUUUAGGGCUCAACCCUGGAAUUGCCAUUGAUACUGGAUUGCUUGAGUGUUGAUGAGGUACAUGGAAUUUAUGGUGUAGCGGUGAAAUGCAUAGAUACCAUAAGGAACACCGAUAGCGAAGGCAUUGUACUUAUCAACAACUGACGCUGAGGCACGAAAGCGUGGGUAGCGAACAGGAUUAGAUACCCUGGUAGUCCACGCCGU
rnacentral:rRNA from 1 species